rnacentral:rRNA from 1 species
UACGUUGGGGGCGAGCGUUGUCCGGAAUCAUUGGGCGUAAAGCGCGUGUAGGCGGCUCGAUAAGUCCGGUGUGAAACCUUGGGGCUCAACCCCAAGCCUGCACUGGAUACUGUCGAGCUAGAGUCCGGGAGGGGAGAGCGGAAUUCCAGGUGUAGCGGUGAAAUGCGUAGAUAUCUGGAGGAACACCGGUGGCGAAGGCGGCAUCCUGGACCGGUAUUGACGCUGAGGCGCGAAAGCCAGGGGAGCAAACGGG